rnacentral:lncRNA from 1 species
GAGUGAACCAGAACUGUAGAAUCUCAAUAAUUUCUCUCGUUUUUGGUACCAAUUGAUCACCAAGUGUUGAUGUGGUUUGAGUGUGUUUAGUUUGUUAUUUCAUGUUGAUCAGUAUGGUAUCAGUAUAUUUGGGAUGGCGUUGUUAAUUCUUUUUGUAAAUAUUAAUAACAUCAUUUAACAAGAAAGUGAAAACUCGACAAGUAACUACAAAGAAGCACCAUUGUCUCGAAUCACUUAACGCUGAUUCAAACGCUUCGAAUAUACAAAAGGUGAUUCAAAUGCUUCGAGUAACUUAGAGCUGGUUUAAACGCCUCGAGCAACUUAGCGCUGGUUCAAACGCUUUGAAUCACUAACGCCUGAGUCCAGCGUGGGGGGUAGAUACGAGCCAGCCCUAGAAUCCACAACACCUCUGUACCAGAACUUUGAGGAUGAAAUCUGUCCCUCACUGUGCUUAACUACGUUCCACGGACACCCGCGUCUCAUGUGAACGAACUGCCGUUGGUGGUGUCACGUCCUACAGCGGGGUUGUAGCUGAGGUGACGGCUCUAGUAGCGACCUGGGCCUGUCGGGGAGGCUGCCGGAGUGACUGAAGGUGCGGCACACCCUGCAACUGCACCUUGAACAUUACAGCACUCUAUCUCCACCACCGCCUCCGCCGCCUCCUCUAACUGUGCCUUCACCUACGCCUCCUAAUCAGCAAGGGUGUUUUGUUCAACCGGAUUACCAGACCCGCGUGUACCAACAUGAGGUGAACAAGUGUCCGUCCAGCAGAUAACACUUCAAACCUGCUCCUGCUCCGCUUUAAAUGACUCUGGAAUUGCUUAUUUUUUUCAACUUAUUCACAGAUCAAACCUCGUGAUGUUCCGCUAUAGAAUACUUUUCAAUUGCAUAUUUUUAACUUAUUUCUAACUUAUUCGCAUAUUGAUGUCACGAAUAAAUGGGAAAAUGUAAAUAAACAACCCAAAGGAAACACAAUAACUCAGAUAUUUCCCAUAAAAACCCGGGAUAAAAGUG